UGCAGUUGGAGGGGAUGAUAAUGAUGUGGUCUCAGGCUUUCUAUAUGAUAAGCUUCAGAAAGAGGUCAUCAGCUUGAGAAAGUCUUGUGAAGCUAAAGACAGUAAUUUGCAGGCCAAAGAUGAAGAAAUUAAGAUGCUCAUGAAGAAGGUUGAGGCACUGAGCAAGGCCAUGGAAUUAGAGUGGAAGAAAAUAAAAAGAGAAGCAGCUGCAAGGGAGAAAGAAGCUGCAAUAUCAAAGGCUGAUGAUAACAAGAAACGAAGAAGCUUGAGUUCAUCCAAAAGCAAAGCGACAAAAGACAGAUGAAUAUUCUGGAUUUGAUUUGGAUUUCUUAAGGAGAUUGAUCUAUCAGCGAUGUUUUCGGAAUUUUAUAUAUACACAUACAGUAUCAAAAUUCAGUGAGGCUAUUUCUUGAAAUAAAGUUCCAUCGAGAUUGGUAAAGGGUAGUUUGGGGAUGUGGCUAUGUACAUACAUAUAAGCGUUGUGUGUUUCUCUCUACAUUCAGAAUAAUCCUUUAGUGCUUGAUAUUUGUGCUGAUGACAACAAUGUAUCUGUAUCUGUAAACAUACUGUAACAUGACUUAGAGCCAUUUGUUUUAAUUAAGAAUUAAUGAUUUCUCAAUCUGUAA